rnacentral:rRNA from 1 species
CGGGAGGCAGCAGUUAGGAAUCUUCCACAAUGGGCGAAAGCCUGAUGGAGCAACGCCGCGUGCAGGAUGAAGGCCCUCGGGUCGUAAACUGCUUUUAUGUGCGAUGAAUUUGACAGUAACACAUGAAUAAGGAUCGGCUAACUACGUGCCAGCAGCCGCGGUCAUACGUAGGAUCCGAGCGUUAUCCGGAGUGACUGGGCGUAAAGAGUUGCGUAGGUGGUUUAUUAAGCGAAUAGUGAAAUCUUGUGGCUCAACCAUGAGGCUAUUAUUCGAACUGAUAAACCUGAGAAUAUGAGAGGUAAGUGGAAUUCCCAGUGUAGGAGUGAAAUCCGUAGAUAUUGGGAGGAACACCAAUGGCGUAGGCAGCUUACUGGCAUAUUUCUGACACUGAGGCACGAAAGCGUGGGGAGCGAACCGGAUUAGAUACCCGGGUAGUCCACGCCCUAAAC